UCUUCCGUAGUAUAGUGGUCAGUAUGUGAGCUUGUCAUUCAAAGCCGACAUCGCUCGAGACCCGGGUUCAAUUCCCGGCGGGAGAG